rnacentral:rRNA from 1 species
UGCAGUCGAGCGGACCCUUGGUGCGGAAGCCUUCGGGCGGAAGGGCCAGGGGUUAGCGGCGGACGGGUGAGUAACGCGUGGGCAACCUGCCCUCCAGAGGGGGAUAACUCGCCGAAAGGCGGGCUAAUACCGCAUGAGUUCCUUCCGGGGCAUCUCGGAGGGAGCAAAGGCCUUCGGGCCGCUGGAGGAGGGGCCUGCGUCCCAUUAGCUUGUUGGCGGGGUAACGGCCCACCAAGGCGACGAUGGGUAGCCGGCCUGAGAGGGUGGACGGCCACACUGGGACUGAGAUACGGCCCAGACUCCUACGGGAGGCAGCAGUAGGGAAUCUUGCGCAAUGGGCGAAAGCCUGACGCAGCGACGCCGCGUGGGGGAAGAAGGCCUUCGGGUCGUAAACCCCUGUCCCAGGGGACGAGAAGGGACGGUACCCUGGGAGGAAGCCCCGGCUAACUACGUGCCAGCAGCCGCGGUAAUACGUAGGGGGCGAGCGUUGUCCGGAAUGACUGGGCGUAAAGGGUGCGUAGGCGGCCCGAGAGGUCCUGGGUGAAAGGCCCCGGCUCAACCGGGGAGGGCCCCAGGAAACCGGCGGGCUAGAGGGCUGGAGAGGGCCGCGGAAUUCCCGGUGUAGCGGUGAAAUGCGUAGAUAUCGGGAAGAACACCAGUGGCGAAGGCGGCGGCCUGGACAGAACCUGACGCUGAGGCACGAAAGCUGGGGGAGCGAACAGGAUUAGAUACCCUGGUAGUCCCAGCUGUAAACGAUGAGUGCUAGGUGUG